AUAUAGGUCAAGCUACAAAGGGCGCAUGGUGAAUGCCUUGGCAUCAGGAGCCGAUGAAGGACGUGAUAAGCUGCGAUAAGCUUCGGGUAGGCGCACAUAGCCUGAGAUCCGAAGAUCUCCGAAUGAGGAAACUCACAUGGGAAACCCCAUGUAUCAUUAAGUGAAUACAUAGCUUAAUGAAGGUAACCCAGGGAACUGAAACAUCUAAGUACCUGGAGGAAGAGAAAGAAAAAUCGAUUUUCUUAGUAGCGGCGAGCGAAAGGGAAAGAGCCCAAACCGGAAACUUGUUUCCGGGGUUGUGGACAUAGCAUGAAAGUGGAGGCUAUUGUAACUGAAGAGAACUGGAAAGUUCCACCGUAGAAGGUAAUAGUCCUGUAAGUGAAACGAGAAGACCACGAGUUAUGAUCCAGAGUACCACGAGACACGUGAAACCUUGUGGGAAGCAGGGAGGACCACCUCCCAAGGCUAAAUACUACCUGAUGACCGAUAGUGAAGCAGUACCGUGAGGGAAAGGUGAAAAGAACCCCGGGAGGGGAGUGAAAUAGAACCUGAAACCGUGUGCCUACAACCGCUCAGAGCCCCUUAUGAGGGUGAUGAGGUGCUUUUUGUAGAACGAGCCAACGAGUUACGGUAUGUAGCAAGGUUAAGUACUUAAGGUACGGAGCCGAAGG
rnacentral:rRNA from 1 species